AGAGAGAAGCUUGCUUCUCUUGAGAGCGGCGGACGGGUGAGUAAUGCCUAGGAAUCUGCCUGGUAGUGGGGGAUAACGCUCGGAAACGGACGCUAAUACCGCAUACGUCCUACGGGAGAAAGCAGGGGACCUUCGGGCCUUGCGCUAUCAGAUGAGCCUAGGUCGGAUUAGCUAGUUGGUGAGGUAAUGGCUCACCAAGGCGACGAUCCGUAACUGGUCUGAGAGGAUGAUCAGUCACACUGGAACUGAGACACGGUCCAGACUCCUACGGGAGGCAGCAGUGGGGAAUAUUGGACAAUGGGCGAAAGCCUGAUCCAGCCAUGCCGCGUGUGUGAAGAAGGUCUUCGGAUUGUAAAGCACUUUAAGUUGGGAGGAAGGGCAUUAACCUAAUACGUUAGUGUUUUGACGUUACCGACAGAAUAAGCACCGGCUAACUCUGUGCCAGCAGCCGCGGUAAUACAGAGGGUGCAAGCGUUAAUCGGAAUUACUGGGCGUAAAGCGCGCGUAGGUGGUUCGUUAAGUUGGAUGUGAAAUCCCCGGGCUCAACCUGGGAACUGCAUUCAAAACUGACGAGCUAGAGUAUGGUAGAGGGUGGUGGAAUUUCCUGUGUAGCGGUGAAAUGCGUAGAUAUAGGAAGGAACACCAGUGGCGAAGGCGACCACCUGGACUGAUACUGACACUGAGGUGCGAAAGCGUGGGGAGCAAACAGGAUUAGAUACCCCUGGUAGUCCA
rnacentral:rRNA from 1 species